AAAAAGACAAAACAUGGUUUCUGUGUCUAACGUUUGACCGUCUGUCUUAUUUGAAAAAAUUAUGAAAAAAUAAUUAAAAAGACAAGUCACGCAUAAAAUAUUAAUUAUGUUUUAUCAUCUAACAACAAUGAAAAUAUAAAUUAUAAAAAAAAUUUAUAUAAGACGGACAGUUAAAGUUGGACACGAAAAUUCAGGGUUUGUCUUUUU
rnacentral:pre_miRNA from 1 species